AACAAAAAGAGAAACAAAAAAAAAGAAAGUAAAGAGGAAAGAAACACUAGUGGAAAAAAUUCCAUUUGUAACGCCUUAUUCGUAACCUGCAGUAAUUUGCCCGUUACAAUAAACCUAUUCGUAACAGGCAAAAUAUUGGUCCAUUACGAAUAAUACAUUAUUUGUAAUAGGCAUCAUUUUGCCCGUUACGAAUACUAUUUUUCGUAAAGGACUAUUAUUUUUCCCGUUACAAAUACUUUGUUGUUUGUAACGGGCACCAAUUGCCUGAUACAAAUAGGUUAUAUGGUAAAAACCCCUAGAUGUCUAACUUCAUUUUUCAGCAGCCGACCUAGCCGUCACUCACAUCUCUCUCCUCUCUCUCUUCCCUCUCUUUCUCUCUCCUCAGGUUUCAAUGCCGGUUUUCAUUGAAUAUAAAACAAACAUUCAGAUUUCCAUUUAAAUACAAAAUCAUCACUACAAAACCCUUAUUUCCCAAAUCCAUCCUUAAAUUGCAAACCCUAAUAAAAAUCAAUCAAACUUAAUCUCAAGCCCUUUCACCACGAAUCCGACGAGCAAGAUGAAUAUCCUUAAGCAUAAUAGUAACCCUCUUAGCAUGAAUAGCGCAAAGGUUAGUAUCCUCAAACAAACCUACCAUCAGCAGCCUCCUGAAGAGCGGCAACGGUGGAGCUUUGGAAGCGAAGAUUGGUCUUGAAAUCCUGAGCAAUUUCUCCUACAAGCCUCUGAAAUGGAAUUACUAUUAAUGGGAUUACAAUCCUGAGCAACAUUGUUCUUGGUGAGAAGGGAAGAAGGAUUCGGGAGCUGAGUUGAUUUUGCAGAAGAGGCUUAAUUUUCCUUGAAAUUUGAUGAUUAUAUUGAUGGGUCUGUUUCUUCGCCUAUUUUGAAUAAGUUGGCUCCAAAUUCCUAGUAAUUUAUCUCAUUAUCCGUCAUCUUUGUUGAUUAUAAUGUUAUGAUUUUGUUGUUUUCUGAUUGAAGGGUUUUAAUUGUUAGUUUGACUUUGCUAUAAUUUGAUAUGGACAAGUGAUGUGGGAAACGACAAUGUUCUUGUUUUUUUUUUUUUUUUUUGCAAGUUUACUUUGAGAUUUGCUAUAAUUUGAGAUGAACAAGCUUAGGACAGUAGGAAGAUCAGAUUGAAUAUGGGUCAUUGGUUGGCUAUUGUAGACUUUUGUAUGUGGCACUGGGAAUGGAGAUUGCGGCAAUACCAAUGUUUGAUCACAAAUUGAGAAAUAAAAUUAUAUUUAGAAGCUCUCAAAA